AUAGAACAAUCUACAAACAUCUGCUGACCAUCAGUACGUGUCAGCUGACCACUAACCUUUGCUCCUCUUCUGUAAAUUUCGCCAGUUAACUUCCCUUGCAACCCCCUAUAAAAAGAGCCUCGGACUCUGGGCUAGUCGCCUCUCUAAGAUACUUUGCUUUGGGAGUGCCGUCUGGCCAGACUAAGAUCUGUUUUACUUUCCAACUUGCCCGGGUGUUCUUCGCUGCAGUCAGCUCCUCGGAGCGUUUGAGAGACCCCUGUGGCUGCUGUGUGGGUAUGGAGUGGAGGUGUCAAGACUGGAGGCUUGCAUAGAUUGCUACAGUGAUCCCAGCUGUGGAACACCGUGGAGUGAGGAAGAGGACAGAGGGAGAGAACUUUUGUGACAUGGAAGGGGACAGGCUGGACCCUGCCUUUUAGAUGGACAUGCAUGCACAAGUGAGGCCAUGUCUCUGAAGCUCCCUAAGAAACCAAAGGAAAAGUAUCUGUUGGACUGGAUGCAGAGAGGUCAGGAAGCCUCUUGUCCUGGGAGGUGGCUCUGGCACAGCAGAACACUUCCAGGAUGUUGCUCCUAUGAGAUGCACUUUAGACCUUGCUGGUGACAGCAACAUUUUGCUGACUCAGAGCAGCUGGAGAUAUGAAUUUCUAUCCUGUGUCUAGUCCAGGGGAAUGACUGACAAAGCUUCUGGCAAAGCCAGAUCCCAGGGCAGCCCUGGCUGAGCUGUCUUGUCUGGAUCACUGUUUCCUCUCUGAGAGGACUCUUGGCUUCAUUUCCAGACAGCAUGCAUGUGGUCAAAUCCUGUGCAUCCCAGUGGCAGAUGCUUGAGAUACCUCCUUUCCAGAUGAACCUGGUCCCUUCUGAAAGCAUCUACUGAGUACAUUGGACACAUAUGACACCCUGACAAACCAAAAGACAGAAGAGUCAUUGGGCCGAUACUGGCUGAGUGUCCUGAUUCUGCUGGGAGACUCGAAGCAGGCAGUGCUCAGUCUUCUUUUGCAAGGGACCCAACUUUCAGAAUCAUGACAUGUCCAGUAACCUCCAACACAGCAGCAAGGACAAACCAGACUCCCUCCAGCUAUCAAGGGCAUCUUGGGAUACUGUUCCUUAGCUUGUAGUCAGAGUAUGGGGAUAGGAAAGGAACUUUCUUUGGGGUGUCCACUCCCAGACUCUCUCCCAAGAAAAAAGGUAUUCCAAAACAUCUCAUGAAGCACCUGAAGGACUGCACGAGUACUGAGUUAGGUGACUAAAAAUCUCAGGGAUGUAGAGGCCCCUAAAAACUGGGAUUCCCUUCUGAGAUGUUAGGUUGACUUUGUUCCUGAAUUGUAACAAGAUGAUUUUUACCUUCACAAGAAAUUGCCUUUGUUUUAUUGUUUGGUGGCUGUUCCACAACUCUCAGAUCUGUGUUUCCACAGCUUCCCUUGAUCCAAAAACAGGACACGCCAAGGAGAUGAAAAGCUUGGCUGAGCUGAGUUCUAAGGGAAGUCCUGGUCAUUACAGAGAAAAUGUUCCUCCAGAAAGACACUGAGUUCCUCAUAAUCUUCCUCCUCCUUCCAAGAGGAGGUUUGGAGAGGGAAGAGAGAGAGCUGGGUUGGCAUGUGGAGGCAGGAAGAAGCAAGCAUGUGAGUAGGAGGUAGGGAGGUGGCCGAGAGGUGAGGGGACUCUGAGGGCACUGAGUCACUUAGCUGACUUAGAAAUUUUAUCUGGGGCCAAGUGUACAUCAGAGAACCUGGGUGGUGUUGGGGGAAAGAGGAAUUGGGCAGACAGCUCUCCUAGAGCUGCAGGGUCCUGGGCAACCACUGAUGUGUGUAUUCUCACCUUUCUGGAUCCUUUCUGCCUGACUAAUGUCACUGCAGAGAACCAUCUCACCAGAGUACAAAGCCCUGGGUGGUUACUCAUACAGGCUCAGGUCUCAGUCUCUGGGCCCCUUUAGGGCAGCCUGUGUCCCUUUGGUAGUAAAGCAGGGCUACUUGUCUGAUUAUCUCUUCUGCCUAGAAGAAGCACCAAAAUAAGUUACCCCAGGCCAGGCAGAUUUGCUCAGCACCAGCACCUUUCUACCUUGGAGGGCGAGUCUGGUUCUGGGGAUUUCUCAGUCUCCUCUGAAAGUAAACUUCUCGGUUGCCUGUUCCUCCCUGUUUUUCAGGCAAGCCCAAACCAGUUCCACAUGGCUGCAGCUGCUUAGGUUCAAGCUGGGCCCCUCAGGAGGUCUAGAAGCUGCUGGAAAAGCAGCAAGAGCUUCCUAGAAACAAGGCUAGCAUGAUAGGCUUAACUUAUCCCUCCAAAUUUAUAUGUUAAAGUCCUAACCCCCAACUCAGAAUACAACUGUUUGUAUUUGGAGACAGGGUCUUUAUGAGGGUAAUUAAAUUAAAAUGAGAUCAGGAGGAGAGGCCCCAAUCCAAUUCCACUGGUGUCUCUUUAAGAACAGAGGACACUGAGAGAGAGAGAGAGAGAGAGAGAGAGAGAGAGAGAGAAUAGGCACAGGUGCACAAAGGGACAGUCAUAAGAGGAGGCAGCAAGAGGGUGGCUGUCCUCAAGUCAAGGAGAGAGGCCUCCGAGGAACCCAAGGUGCUUAGCCCUUGAUCUUAGACUUCUGGCUUCCAGAACUGACAGAAAAUAAAUCUCUGCUAUUUAAACUAUCCAGUCUAUUUUGCUAUGGCAGCCCUGGCUGACUACUAUCUUUUCCAGUUGAUUUCAUCCUGCUAUUUAAGUUUUCUCUCUAGAUUCAUUUCCUGUUACUGCUGUAACAAAUGACCACAAAUUUAGUGAAUUACAACAACACAAAUGUACCCUCUUACAGUCCAGAGGUCAGAAGUCUCAGAAGAAGGUGUGGGAAGGGCUGGUUCCUUUUGAAGAACCACAGGGAGAACCUCUCCCUCUGCCUUGCUUGGUUUCUAGAGGCCGCUGACAUUCCUAGGCUCAUGGCCCCUUCUUCACAUUUCUCCUCCUUCCCCUGAUUCCUGCCACUGACUGUGAUCCCUGCCUGCCUCUUAUAAGGACCCCUGUGAUCAUUCGGAAUCCAUCUCAAGAUCCUUCACAUAAUCACAUCUUCAAAGUCUCUUUCGUCAUGUGAGGUCACAUACUCCUAGGCUUUUCAGAGGAUGGUGUUAUUUAGCUAAUCACAGUCCUGCUCCAUUUCCCAACCCACAUAUGCUUGCAGAUCCUCAAAGUAAGCCGCUUGGGAAUUCAGAAGUCAGCCAGGGAAUGAAAAAUAAUGAGGUCUCCUUGUCUCCCACUUUGGCAUCAUCCCUGCUGGAUGCAACGGUGUGGUCCCAACAAGAAAUCAUAGGAACAAGAGCAGAAGUGGGGGUUAGAGGCAAUGGGGCAGGGGUAGGCUCUAGGCUGGUCCAGACAAGGAGGGACUGAGAGCAUUAUCACUUGGUCACAGGGGGCUUAAGUAACAGAAGAGCUCUUCCCUUAUGAGAGGCACCAUAAGGUGAGGGUAAACAGUGUGGGUUUUCCAGCCAGGCAGAGCUGCUUUUGGCCUGGCUCUUGGCUACUUCCUAGAUGUGGGAGCUUGGAGGAGUUACACAAGCUUUGAGCCUUGACUUCCUUACCUAGAAAAUGGGAAUAAUGGUACUGCUAAUUUAAAUCAAAUUGGGCCUGAGGAAGUUUCCAUACUUUGAGUCCCUGCUUAAGGAGCUGCAACCUAACUUAGUAGUAAGUUUACUGAAAAGCCUAACUAGGUUUACUUUUAUAACAAGUGGCUGAGCCUCAGCUAAUCAAAGCAGCCAAGCUUCAGUCCAACACAAGAGGAAUCUGAUGUGCCAUGUUCAAAUAAGCAAAUGUGGAGCUGUAGCCAAUCAGGCAGUUUCUGAGCCUCAUUUUCGUUUCCUGUGCCUUGCUUCCAUGUCUGGUCUAUAUCUACUUCCUGUUCACACUAUUCAGCAGUUCUCUGAGCCUCUUCUGAUACUGUUGGCUGCCUGAUUGGCCAGUUGUUGUUUGCACCAUUAAACUCUGUGAAAUUUAAUUCUUUUAAAGUUUUUCUUUGUUGGACUAUCAUGAGAAUUCAGUGGAAAUUUUAUUUUUGCAUGGGAAGAAUUUAGCACAAUGCCUGGUACAUACUAGGUCAUUAGUAAAUUUUGAUUGUAAUGAUGACAGUGUUGUCAUAGUCUGUCUGUUUGGCAGUAAGGCAUAUGGGAGCCAGUAGGGCAGUGCUGGUGUGUAUGUGAGCCUCUGUGUGUGUGUGUGUAUAUGUGUGUGUUUAGCACAGCAUAAAAUUCGUGGGCUCAGGAUAGGGUGGUGCAGUUGACAGCUACCUACUACCAAAGAGUCUUUCCUACAAGGGAAAGCCACAAGCUACUUCCUCAAGUAUACACUGACCUUUCUUCCUUCCCCCUUAUUUCUGGGUAAUUUACUGAUAGGCAGUUGCAUUAAAUUGACUUCAUUCCUCCCCCCUGACACCCCCAUCCACCCUCAAAGAUUACACCCAUCAUUAGUCACAGUGAGUGAAUUGGGAGUUGUGUACAGGGUGAGAUAUCACCCUAAGAUAGAUCUCUCCACCCUGGGAGGUGCUUGUGUGUUCUAACUUCCUGUGAAGUGUUGGGGAGGUGUGGGGAGGUGUGUGUGCAUAUAUAUCUGUGUAGUGUGCACAUGUGUGUUUGUGUGUGUGGGUGUAACUGUGUGGAGUAGGGGUAGGGAGAAGAGGUCUGAGCUCACUCUUUGGCUCCAGCAUAGUGGAACCUGUAUCUUUGUGUGGGAUAGGAGCUGAGGUAGCAGAGUUGAACAUGCUGGAAUUGAAAUUUGCACUGGCUCCUUGUUCUUGGUAUAUGUGUGUCAGGGGGUGAUGCCUUGCUUCUAGUAAUCAAAUCACAACUUCAGGCAUGGCUAAUAAGCUACCUGUUGGCAGAUUCUGGGCUAUGGGGUAGAGGAGGGAUGAGCUGAGGCUGGAGGCUCUUUGGGAAGUAGAGCCUGAUGCGAAGGGCAAAGGCCUUGGAGUCAGUUAUAUGACCUCAGGCACAGUCCUUGAUCUCAGUCUGUCUCGGUUUUCUGAUUCAGAGGAUAGGACAUGAUCUUUAUCCCCUUGGCUGGAGGAUCAGAGGAGCAAAUGUAGGUUGGUCUCAAAAGGCUUCUAGAGUGUAGGACUCAGAGCGGUGUAUGGUGCUUCCCUGGCACUUAGAGCAUUGCCCAUAAAACCUGCUCUGUAAGUGCUAGGCAUGGUGCCUGCCACACAGUGUUUUCCUGUCCUUCCCUUGUACACUGGUGUAGGGAACAGGGGAAGGGGACCUUACCAGAACCUCUGCAGUGAGUCCUAGUCUCCUGUGAGCCACGGCAGCACACGGCGAAUUACACGAAAGAUAGACAAAUGAGACUGAGAAGAAGUUGAGCUUUGGGUCUGAUCAGUGCUGCUCUGGGCAGCAAAGACAAAACACCCCCUAGCUUGCAGCACUUUUUAUUCAGUACAUAGGGAAACAAGUGUAACAACUGAAAUGUAGAGUUCAGUUCUUCACAUUGGGAUAAACAAGGUGUAACAAAAGACUAGGGGGCAGUGGAAAUCUAAGAACAAUGAGGAACUAUGCAGAUGAAGAUUUGGUUGCUCCCUGGCGUCUCCCACAAGUGUGGUCUUGUCCUGGAGAUUGCAGCAUCCGGGGAUCACUGAGGUCUCAGUUGUGACCAGAGGCCAAAAUGCAAUUAUGUCUGGAAUGUCCUAGCUGGGCUGUAGGCAGAAGAACUAGGCCUACUCAAAUGAUUUUUCCCUAGAAUAAUGUACCAUUGCUCCCAACACACUGGCCUCUUCCUUCUGCCCCUUCCUCAAUCUGCACACAGACCAGACCUCAGGGAAGUCUUCCAGAAGGCUGGUUUACCAGGGUAGUGCCAGCCAGGUUCCUGUUUGCCUAAACCAUGGCUGCGAGCCCUUAAAGGAGUGCAACAGACCCGAACACAGAAAGGUGGCCUUUUUUUUUUUCCUUACACAGAAGGAAACAGAAAAGUUUACUAAGUCAGGCCCCAUUAAACUCACAAAAAUGCUCUUUGUUCUGGCCUGAGAUGAGAUGAAAAAAAGACCAGAUGUGACAGAAAGGCAUGUGUUAUGUGUUUUCUUCCCUGUUCUUAGAGCUGUUUGGGUGAGGUUCACCCCACCUUGCUCUUCCUCCACAUCUCUGCAUCCUCCACUGUCUAAUUCUAACAUUUAUGUCAGGUAAUAGUAGAAUGGUCCAGUCAGAAGGGACUUCUGUAAUCUUUUACUGAGUCAAAGCACUUUUGUGUGUGCGUAUAUAGUAGCAGGGACUGAAACUGGGGCCUUCACACUGAGCUACAUCCCCAGCCUUUUUGAAAAAAAUUUGAGAUGGAGUCUCACCAAGUCGCUAAGUUGCCCAGGCUGGGCUGGAAAUUGAUUCUCCUGCCUUAGCCUCCCAGAGAGCUAUAACAGUGACAAAUUUAACAACUUUUUAAAACAAUGACACAUUGUAUUUAAGUUAUUUGUACUGCGUUUCUAUAGCACUUCCACGUGGUUUAUAUUGUUAGGAGUGGUGCAACUAAGGUUCUUGCCAAAGGUCAAACAGCUAGUUACUUGUUGAACUAGGCCUGGAAUUAGGUCACUUGCUUCCCUUGUUAGGCUUAGCCUGUUGUCACACACUGUCAUCCUCAGCACUGGCUACAGACAAAUAUGCUUGUGUGCUUUUGUGUAUAGUACAGAGAGAUCUAUAUUAUGAUUUGUUUGUCCCAUAAGUGUCAUUAUGACCUUACAGGCAGGUCAUUAUGUAACUGUGCACUUGUGCAGUGUGUACCCUAUGAAAUGGAACAUGGUAAUCUUGUUUCCAGAGCUAAUCCAAUACUAUUGGUUCAUUCCUUCAGCACUAGGAAUGAUGCUCUUGGGAAGAAAUUAUGCCUUACUUCUAAAAUCCGUGGUCCUGAUGCCCACAGUCUGGUGUAACUGAGCCCAGCUGUGCUGAAAGAAACCAGCAAGCAAGGCAAAAAAGAAGAGCCUCCCUCUGCCAGACACAUUAGCUGCAGGAGGAGGACUGUGUACUCCUGGGGGGUUAUGGGUAUUUGCACAAGGGAACUGAUUCUCAGGGGAGCAUUUCUGGACCUGGGAAGCCAGGCAUGGGUCUUGUCCUUAGGCAGCUGGAGAAGGAAGAAGGUCAGAUGUUUUUGCCUUGACUCAGCAAGUGACGUGAACAUUUAUGAGAUUUUCUCCCUCUGGCUUCAUUUCCUUAUCUGUUAAAAAACAGACCCAGCAGGCCCAGCCCAUACCUGGUAGGGACAGACAGAACAAAAAAGAUGUGAGUGAGUGUGAAAUAUCACUAAGAUGUUAUGUGGUGUCAAGACUCUGGCUGUGACAUGAUGCCCAGGCCUUCCUGGGGGAAAGGUGCUUAGAUAAAGGCAAAGGUUCUCUUUGCUCUAGACAAGGAAGUGCCCUUUGCCAUGCUGGGUGUGUGAAAAUAUACUACCCAUCAUAACUUUUUUUUUUGAGCAAGUGGUCCUGAGCUUGAAUUUAUUUUUGUAAAAAGGUUUGUUGAAAUAUAAUUGACAUAUAAUAAACUGCCCAAAUAUAAAGCUGACAAUUUGAUGUUUCCACAUGUGAAACACAGUGAAACUGUCACUGAAAAUAAGAUAAUGAGCAGAGGCAUCACCUCCAGAAGAUUCCUUGUGUCCUUUUAUAGUUCCCCAUUUCUUUCUCUCCAAUCCCUAUUCUCAGGCAACAUUGGUCAAUAUUAAAGAUAUUUUCAAUUGUUGGAAGCAUUGUGAAUUCAAAUUUUUAAAUAUGAAAAAAUAACAAGAUGUGUCUUGGAAUCUAUAACAUUAGGUUCUCUGAGCACUGUAUUAAGUUGAUGUCUUUAACCAGGGGCUAGGCAGGAUGAUGACAUUGCCCAAAUAAGCUGCUGUGGAAGGAUGUAGAUCUGGGAUUCAAGUCCAUGUCUUUUGAAUUCCAUGACUCCUGCUCAUGUGACCACAUCAAGUUGUUUCUGCUAACCAAGUGCUGUAAAAUCAUUGACUUGACCAAUCUUUCAAUGGGCUGAUCUGUAUGAUACUGAGAGACAGUCUCAGCACUAGGAGAACUUGCAGAAAAUUUCCCAGGUUUAUGCCAGUCCCUGAUUUUGUGUGUGGCCUAGGGGAGGAAAUUAGGUGAACUGGAACAUGCCAGCAGAUCUGUAAUACAAUUUGGAAUUAGGCACCAGGAUAUAAACUCUGCGGGUGUAGGGUUUUAUCUUGUUCUUCCCUGGACCCCAGUGCUUAGCAGGGUGCCUGGUACUGAAUAGGGAUUGGUAAAGAUUUGCACUAGGAACUAGAAGGGCUUCAUGGAGGUAGAAGCAACCCUGGUUGAGGAGGGAUCCAAAAAGCCAGUGUUCAAGUAGCAUCUGAGCUCAUGGUGGCAGUAUGGGGUUUACCCUUAGCAUUUACCCUUAGGUGCUGCUUUGUACUGACUUAGCCUUGGAUAAGGACCAGUUGGCCACCACCUGUGCAGGGAGGCAAUGAGUCCAAUAGAAUGGACACAACUCUGUAGUCAGCAGGCCCAGGUCAAAAUUCUGUCUCUGCUAUUCUGACAUGUGAUCUUAGGUAUGCUCCCUGACCUCUGUAAGCCUCAGUUUUAAAAUAUGGAAAUUGAGCAUAACAAUAGUGUUCUUACACAUUUGUUGCAAAAACUAAGUAAAUUUGUGUAUGGUUUACUGGCACACAGUCAGCAUUUAAGAAGUGGCAUUUGUGAUACCUGCAUUGGAUUUUAAACAUAGAGAUCUCUCUCAAAAACAUACAUUUCCACUCCCUCAAGAGAUUGGACAUUUCUGCUAGCCACUCUGGUUAGAGUAUGGUGGUGGGCUCAGGAUGUGAAUAACCCACAGUACCUGGAGCUAACCACAUAUUCAGUGCUAUCUUGGGUCAUACUGUUUCUCCCACCUAGGAUUUCAUCUUGGCUCUUCUAAACCCAUAGUUUAAGGAUUACUCAGGUCUCAGCACCUUCAGGAAGGCUUAGCUGAUUACUGUGAUCAGUGUGGAGAUUUCCUUCUUUUAUCAUCAUUCUUUUACCAACUGAACUAACCGGCCAUUAGUUUCUCCUACUUCUAAAUCCUGUAUACCAUGUUAGUCUUAACCUCACAAUCUUACAACUGAGAGUGUAGAGCUGUUUUCUGCUUUGCCUAUCUGUAUUUGGAUGCUCAUUUUGCAUAUAUGUUUCUUGAGGGCAGAAAUUCUGUCUUAUGCUUCUUUGUGCCAUGAGUCACAUCCUUAGGAAGGUAUUAUGUAGAAGGCAGGAGAUCAUCUAACAGACACUGUAGAAAGAACCAAGACCAGUCCUGGUGCUUGUCACACUCUGGUGAGGGCUUACUGACAGAGGGUAGGUGUGUUAGUGUGUGAUGGAUGCUGCUUGGGCUAUUUUUAUUGGCUUCAGUUUGUCCUCUAGGGAUGCCCAAAGCUGCUAUUGCCUUGAUUCCUCUAGCUUUUCAAAAAGGCCCUCCAGUGGAUGAGCCCAUCAGUGAUUUUACCUAGCUGGCCUUCUGUUGUCACCACUCUGGCCAUCCACUCACUGGCCAGCACUGUCCUUCAGUCAUUCUCCUUUGGUAGUAAUGUGCUGAGCUCCCAGGAAUAUAACUGCAGUGGCUUUUCAUCAUCCUAUAUCCUCCUGUCCUGAGGCUUCUCCCCUGGGAACUGUCCUUUCUGUCCCACACUAAAAGGGUAACACUGGUGACCCACUGCUCCUUACAACUUACUCUGCAAAGGUGAGAGCUUGUGGACCCAUAGCUGCAGGCGAAGCUCAUGUAACCCCAGAGGCCUCCAGAUCUGUGCAGUCCCCUGCUAGCAUAUCUGGCCUGCUGUUUGGUACACUGCUGUUGGAAUGAUUCAUAAGACAUUCUUCCUGUCAACAAAAGUAAAUACCCAGAGGGAAGCCCAAGGACCCUCUGUGGUUGUACAAUUCUUGAAAUUGAACUGGAAGAGAAAAUCCAUUACACAAAACACUUUCCAGGGGAAGAGGGAAGGAAAGAAGCUGGAGUAAACAAAGGAGGAUCCAACAACCCAGGCCUGGGGGAGGAACACACACUCAGGAGGGCCAACUCAUGCCCAUCUCUGCUGAGACAGAAGCCAUUAGCACACUGGCUGUUCCCCACAGUGGCCAUUAAAGCCAGUGCUAGGCACGGUCCUUCCUGGUCCAGAGGCACACCUGGCCACACUUUUUUUGCAUAACUAGCUAGACAUCCCUGGGUGUAGUGUUUUAGGUCACACACACACUGGUGUCAUCAUGAAAUGAGAAGAGCAUAGGCUUUGGAGUCAGCAAGACCUGGCUGCUUUGCAGCUUGCUAGCUUCAUGGCUUUAGGCAAAUUCUUUCACCUCACUUAAUCUCAGUUUUUUCAUGUGUAAAAUGGGGCCAAUACCUACCUGGAAGAUUGCUGUGAAAAUUAACAUGAUAUGUGUACAGUUCUGAAUGAAACAAAUCAUCUAUCAGCUAAUCAUAUUUAAUUAAAUAUCUUCAUCUCUCAG
ensembl:lncRNA